AGUUUUUGUAUUUUUCGUAGACACAAGCGUUCGCCAUGUUGCCCAGGCUGGUCUUAGACUCCCGGGCUUAAGCAGUUUGUCAUCUAAGCCUCACAAAGUGUUGUUUGUUUGUUUGUUUUAGGUUGGGGCGGGAACAAAGUCUGGUUCUGUUACCCGGGCUGGAGUGCAGUGACAUGAUCCUGGCUCACUGCACCCGCCUUGACCUCCCAGGCUAAGGUGAU
rnacentral:lncRNA from 10 species